UACCAGACUCCUACGGGAGGCAGCAGUGGGGAAUAUUGCACAAUGGGGGGAACCCUGAUGCAGCGACGCCGCGUGGGUGAAGGAGCACCUCGGUGCGUAAAGCCCUAUCGGCAGGGAAGAAAAGCGAACAGGUUCGCCUGGACGGUACCUGACUAAGAAGCCCCGGCUAACUACGUGCCAGCAGCCGCGGUAAUACGUAGGGGGCAAGCGUUAUCCGGAUUUACUGGGUGUAAAGGGAGCGUAGACGGUAUGGCAAGUCUGAUGUGAAAACCCGGGGCUCAACCCCGGGACUGCAUUGGAAACUGCCGAACUAGAGUGUCGGAGAGGCAAGUGGAAUUCCUAGUGUAGCGGUGAAAUGCGUAGAUAUUAGGAGGAACACCAGUGGCGAAGGCGGCUUGCUGGACGAUGACUGACGUUGAGGCUCGAAAGCGUGGGGAGCAAACAGGAUUAGAUACCCGGGUAAA
rnacentral:rRNA from 1 species